CCUCCCUCUCUCUUCCUGCCUAACACAUGCAAGUCUAACGCGACCUUCGGGUCUAGUGGCGCACGGGUGCGUAACGCGUGGGAAUCUGCCCUUGGGUUCGGAAUAACAGUUGGAAACGACUGCUAAUACCGGAUGAUGACGUAAGUCCAAAGAUUUAUCGCCCAAGGAUGAGCCCGCGUAGGAUUAGCUAGUUGGUGAGGUAAAGGCUCACCAAGGCGACGAUCCUUAGCUGGUCUGAGAGGAUGAUCAGCCACACUGGGACUGAGACACGGCCCAGACUCCUACGGGAGGCAGCAGUGGGGAAUAUUGGACAAUGGGCGAAAGCCUGAUCCAGCAAUGCCGCGUGAGUGAUGAAGGCCUUAGGGUUGUAAAGCUCUUUUACCCGGGAUGAUAAUGACAGUACCGGGAGAAUAAGCUCCGGCUAACUCCGUG
rnacentral:rRNA from 1 species